GACGAACCGUGCGAACGUUGUUCGGAAUCACUGGGCUUAAAGGGCGCGUAGGCGGCCCGCCAAGUCAGGGGUGAAAGCUUCCGGCUCAACCGGAAAAGGGCCUUUGAUACUGGCGGGCUCGAGGGAGGUAGGGGCAGAUGGAACUUCCGGUGGAGCGGUGAAAUGUGUUGAUAUCGGAAGGAACGCCGGUGGCGAAAGCGAUCUGCUGGACCUCUACUGACGCUGAGGCGCGAAAGCUAGGGUAGCGAACGGG
rnacentral:rRNA from 1 species